rnacentral:lncRNA from 1 species
UGAGGAGGCUGCCUCGCUCCCUAGUCCGCUGGGCUCGCGAGUCUGGCGGGUCGCAUCUGCUCUCCAGCCCAGCCCGCCAGUCUUAACUCGCCUGUGCUCCCGCCCAGACGCCCUCUCAGGGCCUCCUCAAGGGGGGACAGUGCUCCCAGUUGGGGCGGGGGGGGGGGCUGGGGUGUGGACACUACACCCAUUUCCUUGGGAUCAGCGAGUUCCUCGCCAGUCUCUGGCGUGCACUCAGGCUACAUUGUUACGACUGCCCCCUGUGUGGAGGGCACCUCGCGAAGGUCUGACUCCGGAGUGGCUGCACCCUGCCGGGAUUCGCCUCUGAGACCAAGGCCACGCUCUCCAGGAAGCCUGGCUUCUGUGCUCACUCAGACGCCUCAGGACCUUGCUGGGAGCAGAGCGAUCAGCAACCUGCCAGUUACCAAGACGCCUCAGAAGCCAGCAGCUGCUUUGCAUCCCAAGAUCAACAUACACGAGUGCCUGGAGACCCCGGGUGAUCAAGGCCAGGGGGAAGUGUUGGAAGCUGACUCGGCUGCACAUGUCAUUGCCUCAUGGACCCAGCGCCUGAAGCUAGUCUGUCACAUAAUCAACCUCGGCUUGUCGGGGCUCUGA